rnacentral:lncRNA from 1 species
CCAUGAUUGGUUUUGUAAGUUUGAAACUUUUCUCCAAGGGUUUUAUAGAGAAUGAUUGGCCUGGAGCAAGCAUAGAAGCAGAGAGGUGCAUAAGGAGGCUAUUGCAACAGCUCAGCUGAGAAAUAGUGUAGGCAGAGCCCAGGGCAGCAGCAGUGUGCCUGAAGAGGAGUGGAUGAAAAUGAACUAUUUCCAAGUCCUCCUGGGACUCCAGUAAGACAAGUCUUGCCUUUCAUGUGGACUCAUACAAUGGUGCUCACAUUGGCGGAGUAAGAAGCACUGCACAGAAAUAGCUCAUUGGCAGAAUUGCGCUCUCAAGGAUGGAUAUCUUCAAGCCAUCCUUGACCCUCUAGAGCAGAAAGACAAACAAGUGUAAUGCUGAGGAAUGGGAAAAAUGUUUAAUUGCAAGCAGAAGAAUCUCACGUGAAAUUUUUACAAAUGAGGAAACGGAAGCACAAAAAGGCUGUGCUAAGGUCAAGCAGAUCAUACUGCCUAACAGGAUUUUGGCACCAUUGGUAGUCACUUUGACAUGUCAAUAAUGAUAAUUGCAAAGAAGACUGUUGUUCCAAGUAAUGGAUAACACAGCAUCUGAACCUACCUGGAUACUUUUUCAAUAUCUAAAGAAUUAUGUUGUAUAAAAAGAUGCUCGAAGCCCAGAAAAAAUAAAAGAUGAGCACUUCUGGAAAUUACUAUCUUAAACUUGUUCUGCAGAAUUACUCCAUUUUUGUCCUCUGUUAACAUUUUAAGAAGAUUCCAGUUCUUUUUGGACCUUUUUAGUUGUAAUGGAGCCCAGCCCAUGCCUUUGAGGCAGGGAGCAGGGAAAUGGUGAAAGUCAAGUGACUCUUAGCUUGCGCUGUUGUCAUCCUCUCUGGACUAUUGCUACAUUUCUAGGACCAUUAUUCAUAACAAAAACCAACUCAAAAUGGAUUAACGACUUAAACAUAAGGCUGGAAAUGGUAAAACUCCUUGAAGAAAACAUAGGAAAACGUGUCUUGACAUUGGUCUGGGCAACAAAUUUUUUUGGAUAUGACGACAAAAGCACAGGUAACAAAAUAGAUAAAUGAGAUUGCAUCAAACUAAAUGGUUUCUGCACAGCAAUGGAAACAAUCAACAGAGUGAAAAGGCAACCUAAAGAAUGAGAGAAAAUAUUAAUAUUUGCAAACCAUAUAUCAGAUUAAAAAAAAAAAAUCCCAAACCCAAAUAACCUGAUUUAAAAGUAGGCAAAGGACCUGAAAAGCCAUUUCUCCAAAGAAGACAUAUUAUGACCACCAACUAUAAGAAAAGGUGCUCAGCAUCACUAAUUGUGUUAGUCUGUUUUCACACUGCUGAUAAAGACAUACCAGAGACUGGGAAGAAAAAGAGGUUUAAUGGGCCUUAUAGUUCCACAUGGCUGGGGAGGCCUCAGAAUCAUGGUGGGAGGUGAAAAACACUUCUUACAGGGUGGCAGCAAGAGAAAAUGAGGGAGAAGCAAAAGCGGAAACCCCU